CGCCGAAAAUGUACCGGGGCUAAACAUAUUACCGAAGCUGUGGAUUGUCCUUUGGACAAUGGUAGGAGAGCGUUCUAAGGGCGUUGAAGCAUGAUCGUAAGGACAUGUGGAGCGCUUAGAAGUGAGAAUGCCGGUGUGAGUAGCGAAAGACGGGUGAGAAUCCCGUCCACCGAUUGACUAAGGUUUCCAGAGGAAGGCUCGUCCGCUCUGGGUUAGUCGGGUCCUAAGCUGAGGCCGACAGGCGUAGGCGAUGGAUAACAGGUUGAUAUUCCUGUACCACCUAUAAUCGUUUUAAUCGAUGGGGGGACGCAGUAGGAUAGGCGAAGCGUGCGAUUGGAUUGCACGUCUAAGCAGUAAGGCUGAGUAUUAGGCAAAUCCGGUACUCAUUAAGGCUGAGCUGUGAUGGGGAGAAGACAUUGUGUCUUCGAGUCGUUGAUUUCACACUGCCGAGAAAAGCCUCUAGAUAGAAAAUAGGUGCCCGUACCGCAAACCGACACAGGUAGUCAAGAUGAGAAUUCUAAGGUGAGCGAGCGAACUCUCGUUAAGGAACUCGGCAAAAUGACCCCGUAACUUCGGGAGAAGGGGUGCUCUUUAGGGUUAACGCCCAGAAGAGCCGCAGUGAAUAGGCCCAAGCGACUGUUUAUCAAAAACACAGGUCUCUGCUAAACCGUAAGGUGAUGUAUAGGGGCUGACGCCUGCCCGGUGCUGGAAGGUUAAGAGGAGUGGUUAGCUUCUGCGAAGCUACGAAUCGAAGCCCCAGUAAACGGCGGCCGUAACUAUAACGGUCCUAAGGUAGCGAAAUUCCUUGUCGGGUAAGUUCCGACCCGCACGAAAGGCGUAACGAUUUGGGCACUGUCUCAACGAGAGACUCGGUGAAAUCAUAGUACCUGUGAAGAUGCAGGUUACCCGCGACAGGACGGAAAGACCCCGUGGAGCUUUACUGUAGCCUGAUAUUGAAAUUCGGCACAGCUUGUACAGGAUAGGUAGGAGCCUUUGAAACGUGAGCGCUAGCUUACGUGGAGGCGCUGGUGGGAUACUACCCUAGCUGUGUUGGCUUUCUAACCCGCACCACUUAUCGUGGUGGGAGACAGUGUCAGGCGGGCAGUUUGACUGGGGCGGUCGCCUCCUAAAAGGUAACGGAGGCGCUCAAAGGUUCCCUCAGAAUGGUUGGAAAUCAUUCAUAGAGUGUAAAGGCAUAAGGGAGCUUGACUGCGAGACCUACAAGUCGAGCAGGGUCGAAAGACGGACUUAGUGAUCCGGUGGUUCCGCAUGGAAGGGCCAUCGCUCAACGGAUAAAAGCUACCCCGGGGAUAACAGGCUUAUCUCCCCCAAGAGUUCACAUCGACGGGGAGGUUUGGCACCUCGAUGUCGGCUCAUCGCAUCCUGGGGCUGUAGUCGGUCCCAAGGGUUGGGCUGUUCGCCCAUUAAAGCGGUACGCGAGCUGGGUUCAGAACGUCGUGAGACAGUUCGGUCCCUAUCCGUCGUGGGCGUAGGAAAUUUGAGAGGAGCUGUCCUUAGUACGAGAGGACCGGGAUGGACAUACCUCUGGUGUACCAGUUGUCGUGCCAACGGCAUAGCUGGGUAGCUAUGUGUGGACGGGAUAAGUGCUGAAAGCAUCUAAGCAUGAAGCCCCCCUCAAGAUGAGAUUUCCCAACUUCGGUUAUAAGAUCCCUCAAAGAUGAUGAGGUUAAUAGGUUCGAGGUGGAAGCAUGGUGACAUGUGGAGCUGACGAAUACUAA
rnacentral:rRNA from 1 species